rnacentral:rRNA from 1 species
UACGUAGGGGGCAAGCGUUGUCCGGAUUUAUUGGGCGUAAAGAGCGUGUAGGCGGCCACACAGGUCUGCUGUGAAAACUCGAGGCUCAACCUCGAGCUGUCGGUGGAAACCGUGUGGCUAGAGUCCGGAAGAGGAGAGUGGAAUUCCCGGUGUAGCGGUGAAAUGCGCAGAUAUCAGGAGGAACACCAAUGGCGAAGGCAGCACUCUGGGGCGUGACUGACGCUGAGGAGCGAAAGCGUGGGUAGCGAACAGG